UGGGUCUUUACGUCAGGGAGAAGAAAGUCCGUCCUUCAAUGUGUUGUCCCCCACGAUGACUGCCAUGCCCUUCUUUGACAUCAUAACAUUUCUCAAGAUGUGACAGACUUGGGGACACACACACACUCACACACACACACACACACACACACACACACACACACACACACACACUGCCCUCUCUAAGGGUUUGAAGAAGAGUGACGCUGCCUUGCUGUAGGCACAGGAAGAUGCACAGCACGAGGAGGGGCCACCAGGGUCAAGGCCAUGCUGGAGCAGGCGUGCCACUUCCGCCUCCUGUCGGAAAAGAUUGAUCUUCUGUGGUGUCUAUUAAAUGGUCCAGCCUUCCAUACAUUGCAGAGCGUUAAAUCGGUUAGUUAAAGCUUAGGCGGAUAUGUGACAUGUGUGAAACGAAGUAGCUCGUUUGAUAAGAAACUGCCCGUUUAAAAGGAUGCAGUAUCUGACUCAAGCAAUCACCAUAUUCCUCUGAAGCACACAAAAGCAGUUUUGUAAGAUGUACUACUUCUCGUGAAUUUACUUUUGACCACUACAUACUUGCUAUUUAAAGACUUGAACAACCAUACGACCUAAACAAGAUAACUGGUCUUCACACGCACUUGAGCUCGCUGUUUCUACUGGGCAGGGAGAGGCGGGAGCAUAGUCACUUGGUACUGGAGCGGAAGGUAAUCAGGUCGCAUUGGCCUCAGGUCAGAUGAUCCUCAAGACAGAUCGGCCUGAGUGUAAAUAAGCCUCAGGACGUUUGGUUCUCGAAACACUUGGUACUCAAACCACUUGGUCUCUAAAAUGUCUCAGAGUGAUUGGUAAUUAGGGAAAAGUGUACCAAGUGGGAGUCAAACGGUUAAACAUCAAUUAUACAGCUUUGUGACUCGUCUCUGAUCGCCGCCACACACACACACACACACAGACACACUCAGGCAGGUGAAGCGGGUGGAAGUGCAUUGUUAUUACCUCCAUGCGCCACGGUAUCCAUAGCGCCCCUCCAAGCCUUGCCCCUCCAAGCCUUGCCCCUAGACUCGGGUGUGUAGGAGGAAGAGGAGGAGGAGGGGCAAGGAGGAGUAUGGGUACCAUUCGCCCCAGUACCAAGUGACUGCAAACCAAGAGAGCCGGGGUUGGUGGCGCGGCCCUGUAAUCCGGCGACGCGGAGGCUUGGCCCAGUGGACGGCUUGAGGCGAGGGUGGCUGCUGCGGGACUCCCCAUGUUGAGUGGGCGUCCGCACUAAGCUCGGCAUCAAUAUGGCCGCCCCUGGGGAGCCGGGGGCGUCCAGGUUGCCUAAGGAGGUGUGAACCAGGCCAGGGGGGAAACCCAGCAGCCAAAAGCACCCGUGUGGAGCAGCAGUGGGAUCGCGCCCGUGAGUGGGCGGCGCGCAGUAGCCUUGCCAACACAGGCGAACCUGGUACUUUUAUUUUA